rnacentral:rRNA from 1 species
UACGUAGGGGGCAAGCGUUAUCCGGAUUCACUGGGUGUAAAGGGAGCGUAGACGGCCGCGCAAGUCUGGAGUGAAAGCCCGGGGCCCAACCCCGGGACUGCUCUGGAAACUGCGUGGCUCGAGUGCGGGAGGGGCAGGCGGAAUUCCUGGUGUAGCGGUGAAAUGCGUAGAUAUCAGGAGGAACACCGGCGGCGAAGGCGGCCUGCUGGACCGCGACUGACGUUGAGGCUCGAGAGCGUGGGGAGCAA